rnacentral:rRNA from 1 species
GAGUGCGUAAUAGCUCACUGGUCGAGCGUCUUUGCGCGGAGAAUUUAACGGGGCUAAACCUGACACCGAAGCUUAGGCAGCAUGAUUACAUGCUGGGUAGGGGAGCGUUGUAUACGCGGUGAAACAGUAGCGCAAGCGGCUGUGGAGUGUAUAGAAGUGAGAAUGCCGGAAUGAGUAGCGCGAAUGCAGUGAGAAUCUGCAUGGCCGAAAGCCUCAGGUUUCUGGAGGAAGGUUCGUCCGCUCCAGGUUAGUCGGGAGCUAAGGUGAGGCCUAACGGCGUAGCCGAUGCACAGACGGUAGAGAUUCCGUCACCACCAAAAGAGUUAAACACAGGGACACAUAUGAAGUCUCGGAGCCGGGUGUUGGUUCCGGUAGCGAUCGAGGGAAGUUAGUACCGAAGUCCGGGAUGGAAGAUGGCGAGAAAAGCUGUGUGUAUUUCUGCGGUGCCCGUACCGCAAACCGACACAGGUAGGUAGGAAGAAGAUUCUAAGGCCAACGGGAGAAGGGUUGUUAAGGAACUCGGCAAAUUGACCCCGUAACUUCGGGAGAAGGGGUGCUGCAGCAAUGCAGCCGCAGAGAAUCGGCCCAAGCAACUGUUUACCAAAAACACAGGUUUGUGCUAAAUCGAAAGAUGACGUAUACGAGCUGACGCCUGCCCGGUGCUGGAAGGUUAAGAGGAGAUGUGCAAGCAUUGAAUCGAAGCCCCAGUGAACGGCGGCCGUAACUAUAACGGUCCUAAGGUAGCGAAAUUCCUUGUCAGGUAAGUUCUGACCCGCAUGAAAGGCGUAAUGAUUUGGGCACUGUCUCAACAGCCCGCCCGGCGAAAUUGUAGUACCGGUGAAGAUGCCGGUUACCCGCGACAAGACGGAAAGACCCCAUGGAGCUUUACUGUAGCCUAAUAUUGGGUUUCGAUGUUGCAUGCACAGGAUAGAUGGGACACUGGGAAGCAGGUGCUUUGGCGCUUGUGGAGUGGCCGUUGGGAUACCAUCCUUGCGAUAUUGGAAUUCUAACCUGCGCCUUUGAAUCAAGGCGGGGGACAUUGUUAGGUGGGCAGUUUGACUGGGGCGGUCGCCUCCUAAAGAGUAACGGAGGCGUUCAAAGGUUCGCUCAGCUUGAACGGAAAUCAAGCAAAAGAGUGCAAACGCAGAAGCGAGCCUAACUGCGAGACUGACGGGUCGAGCAGUAACGAAAGUUGGAGUUAGUGAUCCGGUGGUAUGUGAGUGGAAAUGCCAUCGCUCAACGGAUAAAAGUUACCCUGGGGAUAACAGGCUGAUCUCCCCCAAGAGUCCACAUCGACGGGGAGGUUUGGCACCUCGAUGUCGGCUCAUCGCAUCCUGGGGCUGUAUUCGGUCCCAAGGGUUUGGCUGUUCGCCAAUUAAAGCGGUACGCGAGCUGGGUUCAGAACGUCGUGAGACAGUUCGGUCCCUAUCUGUCGUGGGCGCAGGAUAUUUGAUGGGAGCUGUUCCUAGUACGAGAGGACCGGAGCGGACGUACCUCUGGCGCACCAGUUGUUCUGCCAAGAGCAUAGCUGGGCAACUAUGUACGGAUCGGAUAAACGCUGAAAGCAUCUAAGCGUGAAGCCGACCCAAAGAUAAGAUAUCCCAUUGUUUCAAACAAGUAAGACCCCUUGAAGACUACAAGGUUGAUAGGCACGAUGUGUAAGUGGAGCGAUCCAUUCAGCAAGCGUGUACUAAUAGGUCGAGGGCUUGACCA